CCCCAGAGCACAGAGGCGCCGAGAUUCAUUCCCGAGGAAGGGACAUUCCGGUAGAGGCUGCCAAAUAUAUCAGUCUCUGAGCUAUGAUUUUCCUUGAAUGUAUACACCGCAUAGUCAUCUAGAGAGCUCUACUAGAUUUCUACAGCAACGAUCAGCAGAAAGUCUACACGCCACUCUGGAAACACGAGCAUCCAGGGCGCCAGGACCGGAUGGACCCACCCUGGGUCACAGGGAUGGAAGAGACAGGUGUUCUUCUGGUCCACCGCGGGGAACGAGUGGGUUUGAAUUCUCCAUGCCUGCCUUGAACCUGUCGCGACAACUUUUAACCUGCCGGAUGGGAAUGUCCUCGUCAGUUGAGUCCUUCAGAGGCUGUGCACUGCGGUUUCCUCUCCCCCCACCCCGCGUUGGAGGACAGCAGGAGGGAGAAGGAAAUUCUGUUUGUGUCAUGUCAGCAAGAGCUUGAACUUCAUUUAUCAUCACAGCACACAGUAGCCGAUUGUGACGAACACAUUAUCUUACCAUCGUUGGCAGGGUUGUGCGUGAUUUUUCUUUUCCAUGCCCCGUUCUCUUCCCCCGUGCAGUUUGGACUGUUUUUGGUCUUUCCCAGUUAUUUCAUGCUGAGUGUCUAUAGGUCAGGGGAGAAGGUGGGUGCCAGAGAUUUCCAGAACAUCUUGGAAACCCAACAUGGAUUGAAAUAUGGCAUUGUCCUACCCAAUACUUUUGUCUUUAUUUGUAUGUGCUUUAGUGUCUGAAGACCAACACAUCUGCAAAGGGACUUACUUCUCCUUUUCCUUGCAAAUACACAGAUGCCCAUAACCUCUCUCUAUUUCUUUAUUUCUUUUUUUUUUUUUUGUUGAAUCACUGUGAGAUAGUUACAAGCUUUCAAGUUUGGGUUACAAUCUCACAAUGAUCAAACAGCCAUCCCUCCACCCAUACACAUUCCCCACCACCAAUAUCCCCGGUAUAACCCCCCUUUCCCACCCUCCCCCUGCCUCCAUGGCAGACAAUAUUCCCCACACUCUCUCUACUUUUGGGCAU